GCUCAUCUGCUAGAGCAGUUCACUCGUAAUGAUCAGGUCGUCGGUUCAAAUCCGAU
rnacentral:tRNA from 1 species